UCCGUCGGGUGCGCGCGUUCCUCGGAAUUACUGGGCGUAAAGCGUGCGCAGGCGGUUUUUUAAGCCAGAUGUGAAAUCCCCGGGCUUAACCUGGGAACUGCAUUUGGAACUGGAAGACUAGAGUACGGCAGAGGGGGGUAGAAUUCCACGUGUAGCAGUGAAAUGCGUAGAUAUGUGGAGGAAUACCGAUGGCGAAGGCAGCCCCCUGGGUCGAUACUGACGCUCAUGCACGAAAGCGUGGGGAGCAAACAGG
rnacentral:rRNA from 1 species